rnacentral:lncRNA from 10 species
CCCCCUCCCUCCCUGAAGUGGUCUGUUCUCUACAAUCAUCUCAUCAUCCCCAUGUUUUAACUUGUUUUCAUAAUUUUUCAGAACCCUAAUCUCAAUCACAUAUGAGUAUUAGUAGAUUUCAUUAUUUAAAUGAUUUAAAAUAAGGUCUGGAUGACAGGGUAUGCUUGUCUGAUUUAGGUAGUCUACUUCAUUUAAAGAAGUACUUAGUUGCCUAAAUAAGAUUUAAACAUUUGGAUUUGGGAAUCUCUUUUCACUUGUUCUUUUCUUGGUCCAUAAGAAGAGCCAGAACCACAGCAUGCCUCUCUAUUUCAGAGCUACAUUAAGGUGAGUUUAAAAACAAGUUAACUUGUUGAAUGCCAGGAAGAAAAACAAUAUUUGGGAAUAAAAUCUGAUGGAGAUAAGAUUUGGCUAUUGAGGAAAUUAUCUUCGAAUAAGCAAUCAUAUACAACUCAAUUCUUAAUUAGUUGAAUCAAGCUAUUCUUAAGUGAGAAUCAUUAAAUAAAAUUUUAAAAUUAGUUCUCAAAUUAUUUUUUAACCCGAAGAUGUAUCAAUAAUAAAUAUAUUAAAAUAGCAUGUACAGCACGCAGUUUGAUAAAAAUUGAUUAGGAUGGAUUAUACAGCCCUCCCCCAAGUAGUUCUGCACUGAAUUCUGAAGGUAACAGGAAUGAGUGGGAAGGAGCCAUGAAAAAAAUGCAAACUUGUUACAACAGAAAACUACACUUGUGAUUCCAAAAAAGAGUGGUUUGGGUGAUUUCCAGUAAUUCUUGGGAGAAAAAGAGCAGGAACUAUAAUCUCACAACAUAAUGAGUUGGGAUACGAGACUGAAGUAUAAAGAUGAAAUAACAUACCUUUCAAAAACAGAAUUCCUCAAAAAUCUACAAGCUGAGAAGAAAGCACCUUUGAAAAUAUUUAAAGUAAAAAUAACAGUAUACAAAUGCUAUAAUUAUGGGACCAUACUAUAGCCAUCUAGACAGAUUAAGAAUACAGAAGUUACCUUGACAACCAUUUCAGAGAUUGGAUAGAAGGGGGUGAGAAGUUAUGAGCUAUCCCAUCAUGACCCAUCAGUCAUAGGUGCUGAAAGUCUUACCAUCUGUAUUAGUCUGUUCUCACAUUGCUAUAAAGAAAUGCCAGAAACUGUGUAGUUUAUAAAGAAAAGAGUUUUAAUUGGCUCACAGUUCCACAGGCUGUACAGGAAGCAUGGCUGGGGAGGCCUCAGGGAGCUUUUACACAUGGCAGAAGGCAAAACAGAUGCAGGUAUCUUCACAUGCCCGGAGCAGGAGGAAGAGAGGGAGUGGGGAGGUGCUACACACUUUUAAACAACCACAUCUCAGAAGAACUCUAGCAUUAGAACAGUACCAAAGGGGAAAUCUGCUCCCAUGAUCCAAACACCUCCCACCAGGCCCCACCUCCACACUGGGGAUUACAAAUCGACAUGAGAUUUGGGCAGGGACACAAAUCCAAACCAUUUCACUAUCUAAGCACAGAGCUUGGUUCUAUGACUUUCAAGCUAAGUCUGCUCACAAGGAAAAUGCCACUAUUUCAUUUAUUUUUUAAAUUCAGUAAACACCUACUGUGCACCUACUUUGCUCCAGGAAGUGGGAAUGUCAAAACAAGUUUUAAAAGCCCCUGGAGGCGGAACUUGCAGUGAGCCUAGAUGGUGCCACUGUACUCCAGUCUGAGAGACAGAGUGAGACUCUGUUCCCCCCCGCCCCCUAAAACAGCCUCUGGAAUUUAAAUUAACAUGACAAAAUAAUGUGGCAAGUGCACAAAUGGAGGUACAUAAAAAAUGGCCCUAUGGGAGCUGUGCAGGAUGGAGUCCACCAACGAGGCUGCAGGAACGACUUCAUAAAAGAAGGAACAGCUGGGUUGGAACCUGAAAGACAGCUCAGCCAGGCAUGGAGGUGUGAGGGAGGAGUGCUCCGCCCACAUGGAAGAGCACAUCUAGGAAACAGAGAGAAGCAUGGUGCAGGCGGAACCUCUUAAAGAUGGGGUAUGGUAAACGAUGUGGUUGAAGAGGUCAGCGUGUUGAAUUUAGGAAAUGAAAUGCAAAUAAAAUGCUUAAAGGAAAAUGUGACAUAAUCAGAUUUGAAUCUUAAAAUGUUCGCACCCACUUUUGUGUAGAAGACACAUUGGAAGAGAGUAGGACUGGGGGUUCUUCAUCAUACUGAGUUCAUUUUCUUUUUUUUCCCCAAGGUUGUUAAUUUAGUAGAUCAGAGAAAUCCACUCGAUAAAAAUGUUUUUAAGAUUUCAUCGUAGCACUUGAUGAGCUCUCUUGUCAACAAGUUCUGGAAAUAUUUACUGGAUGAUAAUACAAUCAACCCUUUACUUCCUCCUCUUCAAAUAAGCCAUACAGAAUAAAGGAAAAAUCUACAGAAUAUUGGCAAUUGGGAUGACCGUUGGCCUCUACCUUGCCUAGAGAGGAAAGAAAGGCCCAAGGACCUUGAGAUUUCAUGUGCAGCAGCAUCUGAUGGGCCGGUUACCUUCUUUGCCCUGCACAUUUUCUCUAUUCCUCUCCCCACAGCUCUCUGCCCUGAGAGGUUGACCUGGAUGAGCUGCACCCACAAGCUCAUUUGUCCUCAGGUUUCCAGUUGAGUUCCACCAAUGGGAGGCACCAUCAGGAGAUGCAGACUUCAAGAAGAGUGAAGCUGGGAUGUUUACUUCCCCAACUCGCUCUACCGAGCUGCGUGUGAGCUGGCUGGGUACUUCGGUGAAGUUUGCAGCUCCCAUCGGCGCCCUUUUCUACAUCAGCCUCCGUAGCUGCCCAACUUUCUUUUGCCAUUGCAGCCAGUUGAGUGGCAAAACUGGCCCCCUCAAUAUUUUACUGUUCCUUGUUGGCUUCAUUUUAGCCUGUCCACACUUUUGUCAAUUACCUUUUCUUUAAACUCUCAAUCACCUAUUUGAACAUGCCACCGGGGAUGCUGCUUUGAUCCUGCCUGACAACCUUGGUUUCUAGUUUAAUAUUUUCUCCUCUCCCCUCCGCCCCACACUAUGCUGGGUUGAAGCAUAAAGGAAAUAAAAGAUUGCCUUCAUGGAAAUGGGUCUUAUUUCUUUAUUUAAAAAUUAUAUUUUAUUGGAGAUAUUUGAUAGUUAAGAAC